GAUGAACGCUGGCGGCGUGCCUAACACAUGCAAGUCGAACGAAGUGGCGAACGGGUGAGUAACACGUGAGUAACCUGCCUUACACAAGGGGAUAGCCUUUGGAAACGAAGAAUAAUACCCUAUAGUGUAAGAUGGACUUGCGUCUGAUUUGCUAGUUGGUGAGAUAAAAGCUCACCAAGGCGACGAUCAGUAGCGGGCUUGAGAGGGUGUACUGCCACAGUGGGACGGUGACACGGCCCAAAGUCCGACGGGAGGCAGCAGUGGGGGAUAUUGCAGAAUGGGCGAAAGCCUGAUGCAGCGACGCUGCGUGGGGGAUGAAGGCUUUCGGGUUGUAAACCUGUGUCGCUAUCGAACGGGUAGGUGGAGAAGAAGCGCCGGCUAACUACGUGCCAGCAGCCGCGGUAAUUC
rnacentral:rRNA from 1 species